AAUUAAAUGGGAUGGUACAGACACCAUAACAGGUUUAGGAAAGGACGGAGGUUUUCUAUCAAAAUUGGAAUAAUUAACCAGGAGGCGAUUAUUCUGAUUUAUUUGUAUGCUGCAUUGUAAUAAAUUAUCAUUGAGGUAUAUAACUGUUAAACUACAUGGUCCAACUAAUUCAAAGAGUUGUUUUACUAGCCCUAUUGAAAAGGCUCUAUUUAAAGUUAGUGGCAUAAAAAGAAUUGAAACAUUUGAACCUAUAUAACAGAUGGAAUCUUUGAUUGAACAUCGUGAAAAAAUCCCAAGACAAUGUUCACAGAUGCAAUGCUUUGUUAUAAAUUGGUAUAAUGCUUAUCUACAGACCAAAUUGACAUAAAUCUUUCUAAAACAAAGUGUAAAUAUAUUUGUCAUAGCAGAUGGCUUGCCGCAUUAGAUGGAUUGUUACAGCAGAAGCUUUUGUUUUUUUCUAUUUGAGUGAACACACGUUUACUGGUGACGUUUUUUCAAAACUUUAUUUAAUCGUUAAAUGGGUAGUACAAGUAUAUUUGCAUCUAUAAUAUAAAAUAAAAUUAAAGCACACUAUUGUUGAUGACCAUGUCACAGAGUAAAAAUGUUGUGAUUGCUAAAAAGACAAGAUAAGGAAAUGGAGCUUGUUUUGCCCACUCGGAAGUGUAGUCGGAGAUUAGCAGUGAUCACGUUUAGUCGGAGAUUUUGGCAGUGAUCUCAUUAUUUUUGGUAAAGCUUUUCCAAACGCCUGACGCCAUUGACGCCAAACGCCAUUGGAAUUUUAUUUUUAGUGGGUACAGGACGUUUGUUGGAAAUCUUAAGAACAUCGUACGAACCUGCGACGACUCUAAGAUGUUGUAUAGACCUCUUACGUCUGUGUCCGCUGGGCUGAAGAAAAAUAAUAAUUUCAAAGUCAAUGCUCUCAGCAAUCUCACGUUCAAUUAAAAUAGAUGCCAACCUAGAAAGACAUUAUUUUGUCAUUGUUGAUCACUGAUAACUUUUGAUAACCCUUGCCGACUCUAACUUUUCUUACCAUAAGCUGAUGUAAAAAGAAAAUUCAAGUCGAUUAUGUAAAGUAUAGACAAGUUAGGAAAAUAUGAUAUUAUCCAUUUCUCAAUUAAGAAUGGAUGUACGUUUUUCAUUUGGAUUUCAGUUGACAUUGCUGGAGAUAUUGAUGCAUACAAUAGGAAUAAUAUAGUGACAUUUAAAUUAAAAAUUUUAAAUUUUACUUAUCGCAGAAUCAAGUAUUAAUGUUUUUCCCUACUCUAUACAAAAACUUCUAUAUGUAUUUUUAAAUGUAAACUUAGUUGUUUUUAUUUUUGUAAAAAUAUGCAAAAAGUUGAAAAAAAU